UACAGAGGUGGCAAGCGUUGUUCGGAAUUACUGGGCGUAAAGGGCGCGUAGGCGGCCUACUAAGUCAGACGUGAAAUCCCCCGGCUUAACCUGGGAACUGCGUCUGAUACUGGAAGGCUUGAGGAUGGGAGAGGGAUGUAGAAUUCCAGGUGUAGCGGUGAAAUGCGUAGAUAUCUGGAGGAAUACCGGUGGCCAAGGCGGCAUCCUGGACCAUUACUGACGCUGAGGCGCGAAAGCUAGGGGAGCAAACGGG
rnacentral:rRNA from 1 species